UACUUGCAAGAGUCUCUGAUGUGCUUUGUGGUUUGCAGGAGAUAACCAGUCUGAAGAGGCAGUUUACGGAGCUGUUGUCUGACAUUGGCUUUGUCAAGGAGGGACUGAGGGCCAGAGUCAUAGAGAGAAUGGCUGCCAAAUGGACUGAGGGUGUCCUGGAGGCUAGGGGCUGCGAGGCCAACCGCAACUCUGACAACAUUGACAACAUCAGGUUGCUCUGUGCUGCCCUUUAUCCCAAUGUAGUUCAGGUGAGCCUUUACCCAUCCAGCAUGAUCAACAGCUCAGUACUUGUAUAAUGUAC
rnacentral:lncRNA from 1 species